rnacentral:rRNA from 1 species
UACGUAGGGUGCGAGCGUUAAUCGGAAUUACUGGGCGUAAAGCGUGCGCAGGCGGUUUUGUAAGCCCGAUGUGAAAUCCCCGGGCUCAACCUGGGAAUGGCAUUUGGGACUGCAAGGCUGGAGUUUGGCAGAGGAGACUGGAAUUCCCGGUGUAGCAGUGAAAUGCGUAGAUAUCGGGAGGAAUACCGAUGGCGAAGGCAGGUCUCUGGGCUAUAACUGACGCUCAUGCACGAAAGCGUGGGGAGCAAACAGG